rnacentral:rRNA from 1 species
AUUGAACGCUGGCGGCAGGCCUAACACAUGCAAGUCGAGCGGAUGAAGGGAGCUUGCUCCUGGAUUCAGCGGCGGACGGGUGAGUAAUGCCUAGGAAUCUGCCUGGUAGUGGGGGAUAACGUCCGGAAACGGGCGCUAAUACCGCAUACGUCCUGAGGGAGAAAGUGGGGGAUCUUCGGACCUCACGCUAUCAGAUGAGCCUAGGUCGGAUUAGCUAGUUGGUGGGGUAAAGGCCUACCAAGGCGACGAUCCGUAACUGGUCUGAGAGGAUGAUCAGUCACACUGGAACUGAGACACGGUCCAGACUCCUACGGGAGGCAGCAGUGGGGAAUAUUGGACAAUGGGCGAAAGCCUGAUCCAGCCAUGCCGCGUGUGUGAAGAAGGUCUUCGGAUUGUAAAGCACUUUAAGUUGGGAGGAAGGGCAGUAAGUUAAUACCUUGCUGUUUUGACGUUACCAACAGAAUAGGCACCGGCUAACUUCG